CACGUACAUAUCGACACGCACCCUACGCGCCAGCAAGAGCGGCAGCACAUACAUCGCGAUCUACUCAGAGGUGGCUUCACCUUGUGUCCCUUGACAAGCGCACACGCACACAUGCAUAGACGCAGUCAUCAGCUGUUCGGCAUUGUCUAUUACAAGCGCAUCCUCAGCUUCUCUCCCCCCCCUCUCCCUCCCCUCUCCUCUCCUCUCCUCUCUCGCCGCGUAUACGCAUAUACCACUGCGCGUCCGACAGAUCACGCGCUUGCGCAUUUCUGUCUGUCUCUCAGUGUAGGGGCGCCACCACAUCUUCGCCUCCUCCUCCAACGGUUGCCCGUCCUCUGCCAGCCUCUGCCCCUUCCGCCUCUCCUAUAUAUAUAUAUAUAUAUGCACUCGCCUUCAUCGUAUAUGUACACUAGAACCUCCUUACACGUCUCUCCCCGUGUGCCUGUGAGCCUCUCCGACGUUCUCUCUGUUUGGUGUAACCUCUUCUGUGUGUGAGAGAGAGAAGGGCGGCCCGCUUCUCCUGGUUGUUGGCCGACCUCCUCGCCCCCUCGUCCUCCUCCUCCUUGACGUCCUCGGCUACUCUCUCUCUGCCGCACGCAAGGCGCCACGUGCGCCGCUCAGCUUUCACACCAUCUCCGGCACACACACUCAACACGCACACACACGUAGCGACGGAGAGCAAGCAGAAAAACAUGGCGUUGCUGGAAGAGGCACGCCGCCAGCUGGAUGCGGAGGUGUGCGCUUAUAUCCGCAGCAUGCAGCCCGCCCCACCUCUCGCGCUGUCGCUCAACAACGAUGUGGGCGCUGCGGCUGCGGCGGUGGCGAGCAAGGUCCUCCCCAGUGCCGCUGACUCCGCCGCCAGGGCCGUCCCCAUCAAGCCGCCCAAGAGCCAUGAAGCUGGGGGUGGUGCGAGUGAUGAGUCACAUGGCACAUCGCAUGCGAGUCGCACGGCAAAGCCCCCGAAUGUGAAGCAAGCCCGCGCGCGUCUGUGGGAGCUUAUCAAGAAGCUUCAGUGUGCCACCUUCGUGGCAGCGCAGGUGUCCUCGACGGAUAACGACGCAGCCCCGGCUCUCCGCAGGAGAGCUUCCAAGAGUGCUCUCAAGACACAGGCCACUAUUCAUCCGGAGGCCAGCGCAACUGCUGCGAGGCACGGCGGAAACCCCACCGGUGCUCGAGGGAGGGCAGCCGACGCCGACACCGUUGAAGACGCUGCCGCCACGAGGACCGGGUCGCGCCCAUCAUCACCGCCGCAUGGCUUGGUGCGGAUAGCAUCCACGGUGACCAAUGCCACGACGGCAGGAACGGGACGCGGGAACGCUGCGGAGCACAACACCAGUGCCAGCCUGCGCCGACUGAACGCCUCCUUGGCGUUUACGUGGGACUGCCUUCACUACGCAGCCACCCUCGCCGAAGCUGGGCUGGGCAGCGACGCGCAGUCUUUCUUCCUGCAGCCCAUUGCCCAUGACAUCACUUCCCCGUACGAGUCAGUGCUGGCCCGCUGCGUCGAGCAGCAGUCACUGGCGGAUGGCGGCCCGCUACAGAAUUCGGGCAACGCAUCGGCAGGCUCGGCGGCAUCAGCAGCAGCGACCACCGCCAUGCGUACCCCUCGCCGUCAGCACCUGAGCCUGGGCGGAGGGCGUGGCCGCGAGGACCGGAAGCGCACGUCCACCGCUGGAUGCUCCGAAAACGCCGGCAACAGCGGCGCCAGAGCAACGGCAGAGGACGCGAACGUAGAGGAGGGCGUCCGUGUGACGGACGCCCUCGACGUCUUUGCGCCUGACGUUCCUCUGCCGUUGGCUCUGCGGUUGCACAAGUGUGUGCUGCGCUACCAGGCCCUCUCUCUCUACAUCCAGUUUGGUGAGAUCAUGAAGUCCGAUCUGUACGGCGAUGCCGCAGGCUUCGCAACAGCCCUGGAGGCGUGCGCGUGUGUAGAGCAGCUGGUAGCGCUUGAGCAGCGCGUCUUGCGCACCCCCGCCUUUAGCGCGGCCAGCGUCCUCAAGCGCGAAGAAGCGAAGCUGAAGGAGGACGUCCGUCAGGCCACCGGCGCGCCGCCGAAGACUGUCGACACCAUCGUCGUGGCGGGCUGCCGACUCGUUGACUUGAUGGCGGAACCACCGAUGGAGUCCCCUUCGUCGGUGGCCUUGGUUCGCAACGCACGUACGCGCGACGGCGAGGUUGCCCAGCACAUCUACGCGGUCGAAGAUACCGCCGCGCCGGUGCUCUUCGCCAUGCGCCAGUACGUGGCAAACAUGUGCCAGCGACUGCUCGCCUACCUCUCCUCCACCUCAGCCCUCGCCACGAAUGUCGCCAGCGCGGUCGUCCGCCGCCUCAUCGAAGCCCUCCGCACCUCCCUCUCCAUGUCGGAGCUGCAUCAUGUGGAUACCCGCGGCCCGGCACCGGCCGCGCAGAACACAACGGAUGAGCGCAUUCGCGGUGGCGUCGGCGACAAAACUUGCAUCCCGUUGGCCGCCGUCGAGUAUCUUCCCUGGCGUCUGCACGAGUACUCGCUGCUCCAGAGCUGCUACAUGCACCUGCAGGAAGACCCAUCGUCUGCCCCCGCCGCUGUCGCGGUCGCGCAGCGGGCCCUGCACCAGGUCUUGCAGCUCAUGGAGCUCGAGUACCUUGACCCAGUGCCGCCGCCUGCGUCCUCUGUGUACCUCUUAGAGUCCGCGGUGCAGCAGUGCGCUGGGCAGCUGCUUGUGGCGAUAUGGAGAGCGGCGUUCGUCCAGGACGGCUUGCCCUCGGCGAUGCAGCUGGCGGCACCAGCGGAGAUGGUGUCAAAGAUGGCGGCCAACGGCAGCAGUUGUGAGUCGCCGCGUAACGCAACCGCGACGGUGGCCACUGCGAGCUCCACCAUGGCCUCCAUCACCGCCCUUAUUCAGCAGACAGUAGCACAUCUCCUCUCCGUGCAGUGCUCGUCGCCGCCCGCGGCUUCAGCGCCGUCGCUCGUGAGCUUGCCGCCACGUGCCACGCAGCAGCACGGCCAGUGCUCGGGCAACUCUACCGAUAGCAUGAAUGGAACCCGUCUGCUGGUGGUUUUGUGGGCGUGUAUCGCGCAAGUGCAGCAGCAGUGCAUGCUCCUCGCUGGCAAUUCAGAGGCAGCUGAUGCACUGCGCGCCGCUGCAACCAGCGGUGUGCAGUACGACGACGAGGAUACGCCGGUCGAUGGUGCGAGUGAAGCAGCGUUGGGCAAGGGCCCCGUAUUGCAGUCAGCUAGCGCCUCCUCGUCAGCAGGAGGAGGGCUGCCAGCAGCGAAGUCUGCCAAGAAGGGCAAGGCCUUCAACUCGAGCGGAGGUGCCGCCGCACCAGCGAAGCACAAGCUGGACAAGGAAGCGGAGGAAGCGGCGCAGCUGUCACAGGAGCAGGUUGCUGCAGCGACGGCCGCAGCAGUAACGUCCUCGUUUUCGCCGCCCACUAGUAUCUCGCACCCGCACCCAAGUGUCGUGGCCUUGGCGACAAGCUUUCCACGCAUGGCACUGGAGCUGACGCUGCAGCUGAUCACGGCCAUUGAGGCCGCUGGCGCGACGCCUUGCUAUACAGGUGGCACCAACAGCGGUAACAGCAACGGCGGCAGUGAAGCUGUGGCACGGUCGUCCAUGGGGGCGCCGUGGAGAUUAUCAAAGGCGGAUGCCGGCUUUGGCGUCAAGGAUGGUGCAGACCGUAAGUCGCUCAAGAGCACGCGCAGUCGAGCCGCCAGCAUGACGAGCUUCAGUGAGACGGCGGCCAUAGCUACGGGCGCUGCUGCAUCUGCUCUAUUCGCAGGUGUGCACAUCCGCACGCCGCACACGAUGUACCGGCACUGCGUGGAGACGCUGGAGGUACUCCUGCAUGGGGCCGCAAUGGCGGCGACAGAGCUGGCGCCCGUCGGCGCAGAAACCGUGGUGCCACCGUCAUCAUUGGGGUCUCAUGGCAGUGGCACCCGCCUCGGCGCCCUCACACACGCGGCCGUGCUGCGCGAUGCGGAGGACACCCUGCGUUUUGACGACGGCGUCGAUGUGGUCGCCGCCGGCGCUGCUGGGGCUGCUGGCGGUGCGGCCAAUUCACUGUGUGCGUCGACGGACACCACUGCAGUUGACACGCCGCACGUGGUGCAGCAAAAAGCCCACGAGGCGUCGCUGAUGCCCCGAUGUUUCCUGUACAACGCGGUAGAUGCGCGCUGCCUCAGCCGCUCUCUGACAUGGGAGGCGCUGUUCCUUCCCUCGUCCCUAAUGGCUCCCGGGACGGCGGCCGCGCUCGCAGCGCGCGGUGCGCGUGAAGACGUCGAAGACGGUGUGCAGCGCUCUGUGACAGCGUUCCGCACGCUCGCCAUGGCGUCCUCGCAGCUCACCAUCGUUGUCCGAAUCGGGGUGGCCUUGGAGUCGUGGUGGCGCAGUCAGCGGCAGCAAGCAGCUACCAGCGCCAAGCUCGCGGCAGCAACAACCGCGAGCAGCACCGCCAAGGGAGCGAUCUCCAAGAAGAAGUUGAACAACAGUGCCACCGCCCCGCGGCCACUGCCGCGGUCAUCUACGCCUGCGACACGGUCAGUCGCGAUGGAGGCCUGCAUACGGUGCAUUGAGCUGCUCCGCGUGUUGGCGCUUAGCGCGAUGAUUCAACGGCAUCAGCAUCGCCUCGCGAAAGACGAGAGCGCGCUGACGGCAACGCUUCUCGCGUUUGCCGCCGUAGAGCGCGCACUGAGCGGUGCUGACGCACCCACCACCUCCACCAACCCCCUGCUACCUCCUGUGCAGUGUCCAACAGAGGAGCUUGCGGAGUACGCGCGUCUCUACUCGCUUGCCCAGGUGGGUCAGCGGCUCUCUCAGCUGCAGCGACGGUACAUCGGUGGUGAUGGUCGCCAUGUACGCGAGGUGGGGUUGCGUGAGUUCACGGAGAGCGCGGGUCUUUUCAGCGUCGAUACCGCAGCCGGCAGUUGCAGCAACAGCAGUGGUGGAGCCGGUGGCGACUCGCUGCCGUGCACCUCUGCGUCACCGCAGUCACUGCAGCUGUACAGAGCAUCUGCGACGCUCCUUGACAAGGUCACCGCUGCACUCUGUGCACUGCCGCCGCCACCGACCUCUUCCUCUGUGGACGGCGCAAGCGAAAGCGUUGCGAGCAGCGGUGUCACGGCCAUGGCGGCUGGAGGGCUGCAUACGCCGAUGAUGACCGCCCUGUCGAUGCUGAAGCCUGUUGUGGCGGACGUCGCGUCGUUUUUGCUCCGUUGCGGCGGUGAGCUGCGCAGUCAGUGGCAGCGGCAUCGCGCGCUCCGGCAACUGCGCCAAGCAACCACCGUCCAUGGCGACGCAACCAAGACCAAUGCUAACGCCGUCACCGCGGAUGCGCCGCUGUCCGUUGAUGAGCGGGAGCUCAACGCGGAGGCCACCUACGCGACGAUGGUGCUGUGUGUGUUGACGUCGAUGUGGCGCAGCGGCACCAGCGGCGGUAGCGGCGGUAUGCAGCUUCCGGACGACCGCGGCGUGGCCAGCCUGGUGCGCGGCGUCGAGUCUGGGUUCCUGCAGCUCGUUCCAGCGCUGCCCUCAUCUUCGGCGACAGCGGGGGAGGCGAAAGCGGCGGCGGCAGUGGCAGAAACGCGCGUCCCGCCUGCGCAACUGGUGCGACUCAUCGCGCACGGUGUGACGGCGCGUCGACUCGUAGAUCGCGUACGGGGGCAGCUCCAACGCCGCGUAGAGUCCCUGCUAGCGCACGCAGUUCCUAGGAGCGACAUCAGAGAUGCUGGCGCGCCGGCUGCGGCGACCGUUGCGACAUGCGCGAAGUCCUCGAACGUUGGUCAGCUGAGCACGGCACGAGAUGCCUUGACGGAGCUCACCUCUCUCUGGGUGGCCGUGCGGUGGCAGCUCGCACGUCUUCAGGCACACAAGAGCAGCUACACUGCUCAGCACAUGGACCUAGAGACGCUGACGGUGCGGCAGGAGCAGCAACAGGUGUACGGCCGCACCACCGCCAAGGAGCUCCGCAUCUUGCGCGCUCUGGAGCAGGCCACUCCCGUGCUCCCUGUUACUGCCAAGGACGAGGAGGCGCGCCUCCGCCGCUGGGUGGCGGAGCAACGCCAGCAGCAGUCGCAGUCGCAGUCACGUAUGGCGGUGGCAAUGAGCGCGUCUUUCCUGCUCCUCGACGCGCUUGUGUGUACGGCGCUAGUGCCGCUGAACACAGCCGACCCGAGCGCACAGCAGCGGCUGCUGGAUGAGGCCAUACGCGCCAUGCUUCAAGCUGAAGCAGAGUGCGCCGCCAAGAAGCCGCGGAAGCGCAGCUCGAACUUGCGCGGCUCGUUCUCGCUAACACGCGCCGCGACGGCGGUAGCGGCCGAGGCGCUCGUGCUCUACACACCCGUGCUGCUGUGGUGCUACCUCGCGGAGGCGUGCUACGUCUACGGCACGCGCGAGCAGGCGGAACGUGUCCGCGCGGUGCUAGAUGCGCAGAUGCUAAAGGAGAUGCCGGUCAUCACCUACUACACCAACGACGGUGGUGCCGUGACGGCCGUCACCACGUCCUUCGUUCAACGACUCAUGCUUCAGCCGAAGUGGUCUACCCUGCAGGCGAGCAGCACGACAACGCAGCUCGCCUACUGUCGCACACUGAACUCCAUGGCGGCGGUCGACACAAGCAAGGCCGUCUCAGGCAGCGACGCGCUGGGCAGUUUGCAGAUUGUGUACCGACUGGUUCUGGCGUUGCAGAUUCAACGGAUGCUGGGACCGUCGGAGGCGCACGGUGGUGGGCCAGAGGGAACCGGAAGAGGCACCCGUGGUUCUCCCACAGCGAGGCGAGACAGCUUGCCAUCCUCGUCCGCUGCCCCCGCCUUCGCGUCCUCGCCGCUGACAGUCGAUACGGCUCAGCAGCUGGUGGCUGCAAUCCUGAACUAUCUCUCGCGUAGCAGCGGCAACACCGAAAGUAGGCCAACGCUAAAGACGGCUGCGGCGCCACUUCUCCUGCCCCCGCUGGUGGCGCUGUGCGAAGUUCUGCUAGGUCUCCCCCCCUCCUCCCCAGAAUGGGCCGAUGCGGCGGUGCAGCUUCUUGCUGUGCGCGUACUGACGCUCUUUAUGGAGCAGCUGACAUACGUCAUGUCGUCGACCAUGACUGCAGCGGGCGCGGUAGCCUGCCUCCCUGCUGUCGCGGACGCGAUGCUGCGGCUGCUUUGGGCAACGUUGGUGCAUGUGUGGAACAACGUCUUGCGUAACCCCAACGCACGGCAGCGCCGCUCGCUGCUCGCCGUGGCGCGAGAAACGCAGUGGGCGCGGCGCGUGUAUGACGGGCACCAGCGCCUGAUGCGGCAGCAGGAGGCGGUGGAAGGCACUCUGGAUGCCGAAUCCGACGAGAAGGGUGCAGGCGGUAGCGGCAAGAGCGGGCGCCACGCGCGCAACACCAGCAACGGCAGCUCCGAGGCUGCAGCCGGGGCUCAGGGCGACAGUGGUGCUUCAACGUGCCCCGUGCCACCGCUUGACUUUCCGGGCGUGGUGUACAUUGCGUUCGAAGGCGCGCCCGAUGGUGGGUCGAGGGCGCAGGAGGUGCUUGAAGCGAAGGCAGAGAAGGGAGACGGCGUCACCCGCACCGCCAGCGCCGCCCCCGCUUCUCUGUCUCCUGCCACGGCAGCGACGGGCGCCGCUGACUCGUCGAAGCGGGGCUCCGCCUGUGAGCCCAGCACGGUAUCUAUGCACGCCAGCGCCCCUGCUGAUUUGGUGGAGCUCCUCGAGGAGGUCUUACUUCAUGUGCCAACACUGUGGCCAUUGAUCUUUUCUGCCGCUAUGGAUGGCGGUGCAGUGGCUGACGCGGAAGGCAGCGCGCACGAGGCCGUUGGCGCCAUGGCGUCGCCCAAGCCGCAGCGACGAGGCAAGGACAGCGCGGAGGAGGCGGAGCAGCAGCGGCCGCCGCCGUUGAUGGACUCGCUCGCGGACUUUGUGCGCUUUGCAGGUCAGAGCGCUUCACGUGUGCUGCGCUCGCAGCCGGCAGCGUCGAUCGCGGACGUGGCGUCGUCGUCCUCUGCCUCUGGCGUACAGUCGUCGCUGCUGCGGUUGCAGGGGGUACCUGCCAUAUACGCAGAUGUCGUGGUGGCGCUUCGGCAGUACAGCGCGAUGAUUACUCAUGGCGCGGCAACGGCGGUUACCGGGGCGGCGGCCGCCCGUGGCGGCGGUGGCAACCGUGCGCACACGGGGGGCGGCGGGGGCACGGCUUCUGCGGUUCUCCUAGACGUCCUCGGCAAGUACAAAGAUGACCCGGCCUAUGCCAAGAUGGCUGUGCACAUGGUACGGGAGAUGCUGACCAUGUGCAGCGACGCCCACGACAACCUCGACAACGGCAGCGGCGGCGGCGCGAUGAGCUCAAGCGCCGGCACCGGCACGGCUGCUCGAAAGCGUAACACAGGCACCAACGCCCCCGGUGCAGAGGUCGGCAUCACCCCCAUCGCGGCGCGCAGCACAUCCGUCGCAGCCGCGGCCGCCAUUAUUGCGGAUGCGCGCCUCGUCAUGCACACGGUGCGAGAGCAAGUGGAGCAGAACCGACGCUCUAUGGAGGCCUACCUCGACAGUGUGGACUCAGAGACGCGGGCGUGGCUGGCGCGCGAUGGGUACGGCCUGUGUAGUUCCCCUCAGCACCAAGUCGCCGCGAACGCCGGCGCCAGAGAGUCAUUGCCGAUCGCAGCGUCCGCGGGGAAGAAGGACGGCGGCAAGGCAGCGGCAAGCAAGAGGAAGCUCGCCAACCGCGGCGCCGCUGCCAAGAAGGGUGCGGGCAAGUCGAGUGCGCCGGGCGGCAAUGAGGGCGGCCUCGAGGACGAAGAGAAGUCGAGGCAUCCAGCAGACGACGAGCCAUCCUACACCGCCGUCACGCGUGUGUGGAACUUCGCCGAGCAGCACCAUCUGAAGCGGCUUACCUGCGCCGUUGCGUGGUGGCGACGGCGACGAGCGGCACGGACGCUGCGGCACCGCUACACACAGUACAACAUGCCCUUCAUGGCCCAGAUGCACCUGUACGAGGCAGCACUCCUUCACAUGGGGGCGACAGCACAGUACACAGCAGUGGCGCACGAGCGUCGUGUGCAAGAGCUGCUGUGCCUCGUCAGCGGUGACGGUAGCGGUGAUGGGGAUCCACGGACGGGCGCGGCUGUCGACAGAAAGCUAGCCGUCUUCAAUCCCACUGCCAGUGCAGCUGCGGCUGCCGCUACUCAAGGCGGCGGCGCAGGUAGCGGGAGUCCCGAGAAGCUCUCAAACAGCAUCAGUGGCGCUCUGGCUGAGACACCAGAGGACCUGGCGCAGACCACCGUGGAGCUCCUCCAGCACUGCGCCCGCGCAGCCCUUCUCUUCCAAUAUCUUUGGCUGCCCACACGUGCCAGCACCGCGGUGCAACUUGCGGUGCGCCACCUGCAGCAGCUGCGUGUGACUCUCCCACAGAAAGGUUUGUCCGUCUCUUCGACGACGGCGAUAACGGCACUGGUGAAUCAGCUGCUGGAAGUCCCGCUCUUCUCCAUCGCCGCGGUGCAGCACGGGUACUGGGACGCACGCCGCGAUGUACACGCAGGGGUGCUCCAGCCGACAGUAGUGAAGGUCGGCGCGGACGUCAGCUGGAGCCAUCGCUUCCGCUUUCACCGCAGUGUUCCGUCGCUGCUGUCCCUGGUGUCGCUGCUUGGGCAACAUGAAGAGAUGCAGUCCGUUCAGGAAGCUCGUCUGCACGCGCUGCGGCAACGCCAGCACGAAGAGCUGCAGCUGCGCCUAUGUGUGGAGUCAGAGGCGACGACUCGAGCAGAAGCUGAGCGGGACGAGCUGCAGGCCAGGGUGAAUAUCCUGCAGCAGAUGCAGGAGUUGCUGCCGCAGCUCAGGCACAGCGCUGCAGUAAAGGCGACGCUUUUAGUCGCAGCGGAGUUGUUGACGUCGUUCGAAACGGGUCUCGAUCACCUCCGAUCGCGCCACAGAAGCCCUCAGGGACUCCCGGAUGCACCGCAGACUGUCUCAGUACCAAGUCGAGAGUCGGUUCACGCUGCCGCAGCGGAAGCGGCUUCCACGAUCCAGUACUUCACCUUUGAGAGCGUACCACGAGGCGGCUGCGCCGCUGCGACGAGCGAUGCUCGAGGGACAAUGACCAUGGCCGGCUCCCACAAGGAAGCAAGCCGUGGCACUGGUGGGCAGCUCAACACCUGUAGCGGCCGCGGCGGCGGUGACGCCGCAGGACUCGGCUCCGUCGGCGCGGCCCACUACGGUCGCGACAUGCGUGAGGCCGUCCUUGUCGAGCAGCUGACAUGCCUUGCGCGUGUAGUUGUUUCCGUCCAGCCGACGCGCUGCGAAGCCGCGUACCGCGUGGCGCAGCGUCUCACUGCCGGCCGGUACGCCGAGGAGCUGCUGCCGCGAAUCCUCCAGAUAGAAACUGAGUCGCGUGGUCAACCGCGGCCAGAGACGCGGGCAGCGUACGAUCAGGCGAUACGCAACGUGCCGGAAGUGCUCUUGGUACUCCGAGCUGCGCGAACGGCGCGAGCGCAACUGUCGAACAGCGAGGCGCAGGCAACCAACACUCAGCAGCAGCUGCUGCUGCAACCCGACCUCGCGUCAGCCGAGAGUCUAUCUGCGGAGGCGAUGCCUACACGAGACCCCAGCGCAAGCGACACCAGCGCUUCUUGGAGGGCUGCGGUGAAGCUGUAUCAGCGUGCCGCUCAGGGUCUGCGCGCAGCGGGGCUCAUCCAACCUCUCGGCGAGUGUCUCUACGAAGAAGGUGGCCUCUACUACGCCGCCUCCCACGUCAGCGAGGCUGCGAAGCGCUGGUCCGACGCAGUCGACUGCUUCCUUUCUACUCCGCACGCGCUGGAGGACUGGCAUCGGCAUCGCACCGCUCCCCCCGCACCACCCAGCGGCCGUCGAAGUCUCGAGGAGCUGCUGUGGAUUACUGCUGCGCUCACCGCUUUGGCGAAUCACGCGUUCCCGACCGACAGCCCACGCGCCACAGACGCAACGCUUCUCUGCGCCCUCCUCGUCCACCAGUCCUGGCGUUUGCCAGGCGUGGUCUCAACCGCUGCCUCUAGCGACAGCGCGGGCCGCACCGCGGUCACACGGGCACAGCAGCCCCACCUCCCCCCCGCGCAGUACUGCCUCCUCGACGUCCACCACGUCAGCGCCUCGUUCAGCGACGCACUCCGGCCGACGGUCGUUGGCGUGAGCCAGCAGCACUCGCCGACGGGGAUGCCAGGCGCCUUGGCUGACGUGACGCGUGGGUUGAUCUCGGCCGCCCAGAGCCUUCUAGCCAAGCCCUCCUCCGCAUGCUACAGCAGCGAGUCCGCCGUCCUGGCAGCUUUCAGCGACUUCGUCGCCACGGUCGUUCUUCAAGACGUCGAGUUGACGGUGGAGGCACGGCUGGUGCGUGCGGCAGCAGCGGCACACCUCGGCAGCUUCUCGGUGGCCAUGCGCGACAUCUACGGCGUGUGCAUCGGCGCCGGGCUGCCGCAGCCGGUGCUCGCCUCCCUCGGCGCCGAAGAGACCUUACCGGGAUUCUACUCGCUUGGGUGCGCUGCCGCAUCGUCAGCUGGAGCUACGGCUGCUGCGGUGGCCACCUCGCUGUCAUCGCCGCCGCCGAGCAGCAGCGCCACGGCGCCGUCGUCCUUCUACAAGGAUGAGGAAAGCCCGUCCUCCUCCCACAACACGGCAGCGGUGCGGGCGUUCUUGGCGGCAUGUCUGCCGGGGCUUCCCCUAGACGCUGUCGCCAAGCACAACACCACCGUCGGCAACAGCGAGGCGGCUGUCUCAGCCCUUCUACCCUUGACCGUUGGUGUGCUGGCGUCGGCGGCACUGGAGGAGCGCUACGGAGCGUGUCUUACGCGGCGUGUGCAGUUGGCGAUCGCAGAGCUGUUUGUGCGUCUCGGCACGUGCGAUUCUGCUUUCCUGCUCACGGCACCACCAACCGUGGCGGCGGCGGCGGCAAGCUCAUCACUGGCAGCAGCCACCUCCUCUUCAGCGUCGAGCAACUCGGCAGGCGGUGGCGGUGGCCAAAAUCGAACCUCGCUCGGUGAGACCAUGGCAACGCCGCGCGUGGGGAGCGGCGGCAGCCGGGGCUCGCAACCGCCACCGCCACCACCAGCAGCCACUGGCCGCGGCGAUCGACCUGUUAACGCCUGCACCGAAGCCUGCCGCUACGCCAGCGCGCUCCUCCAGUCUCUGGCCAGUGCAGAUGUGUGCUUCAUCCUUACUGGGCAGUCUUCUCCUGGCGUGAUGGAGGGCGGCGGGGCUGCCGGGGUCGGCGCGACUCGCCCCUCCGGUAGCUCCGCAGCGGCGGCCAUCUUGUCCACGCAGGUGUCAAAGGCACGUCCCGGCACCUCGUCCCACGGAGCCGUAGCAGGCGCGUCUGAAGCAGCCGCCGCAGAGCCUCGCACCGGUGUGUCGAAGCAAGUGGACGGCACCGACGGAGGCGGCGGCGGGAGCGUUGCACCCGGUUCUCCCUGCGCCGCGUGGCUCGGCACCCUUGGGGCCAUCCGACAGCGCGCCCUCCUCCUCACGGCAGAGCUCCUCGCGGCGCAGGGGCACUACGGUGCGUGUUUGCGGCGGCUCGCCGCAUGUAUUGCGGAGCACAAUGAGGCGCAGCAGUACAAGAUGUAUCAUCGACAGCGGCAGUCGUCGUCAGCGGCCCCCUUUCCGUCGCAUGCAACCUCGACCACCCCUCACCCGCCGUCGCGGUCGCAGGGACCGCAUGCCCUGUUGAAGGGCCUCGGCGUUCAAGGCGGCGACCAGGCCCUGGCAUCGUUUUGGUUCCCCUACGAUCACUGGGUUCGUGUCUGGCUGCUCAUGUGCCGCUGCUACAGUCAUCUGCGCCAGUACCCGCAGCUGGAAGAGGCAGCGGGGACGCAGGGGCUGGCCCUGUGCACAGCCUUCGGGGUUGCGGGGGUGCAGAAGUCCGACAACAGCAGCAUCGGCAAGGAUGCCAGCUGCUGGACUGUGUUUCAGCUGUAUCGGCUCUACGCACUGAUGCAGAUGGGUCGCCUGCGCGAGGCUGACGAUGUCGUCGAAGCGCUGGAACUCGGUCAUUGUGCAGCAGCUGCGGUCACGGCUGAUUCGCCAGCGAUGGGCAUCGCCGAGGACAGAUGGGUAGCGGCGGCGGCCCUUCGGUGGUGGCGCACGCAUCGAGGCAAGACGAUCGAGUCGGCUGCGUCGCGUGACGUCCUGGAGCAGCUGGUCCGAUGGGCGAUUACGGAGCACGGUGUACUCCCCUGGCGGCCAUCGACGUGCUCAUCCUCGCCAUCGUCCAGCGCCGUUGCAUCGCCGCCGCACCAGCAGCAGCACUAUGUGCUUGUAUCGCCAUCCGCCCGCACGAUCCUCCCUUCGCUCGCGCUGUCGCGGUGUGCAACGACGGCGACGUUGUGGAGGCUGCAUGACACAAUGAAUCACCACGCCCUGGAGCAGCAGCAGCUCUCGAUGGCGGCAGUGGCCACGCCUGCAGCUCUUGGCGGAGGGGAGGCGAGCAGCGACGAAGCACGAGGCAGUGGUCGCGCUCCCCAGCAACGCCUCACGACGCCAAACUGUGGAAGGAUGAGCAACAGCCCCAGCACUGACAUGGCAUCCAAUUUGCUUACCUCAGGCGUCCCUGCGACAGCCCCCAGCGGCGCAGCCGCCUCGCUCGUGCAAGCGCUAGAAGUCGUCAGCCCUCAGUACAUCACGUCGGUGCAUGCCAGCUUCUGGUUCGAGUCGCAGCUGUGGGCAGCGCAGCUGAAAGUGCAGGAAGUUUGUGCACAUCUGCUGGCAGGGGCCCGUGAGGUCGAUGUCGAGGUGGAGGCGGUAGUUCGAGGCGGCGGCAGCGGCGGCGCUGCGACGAGGGGCAAGAGCGAGUCGGCGUGUGUCGCAUCUCAGACGGGGGUGCCGCCGCUGUUGUUGUCAAGAGAGGAUGUGCUGCGCGCCCUUCCGGCCCCUGUGCGGAACGUGUGUGAUGAGCUUCUUCGCGUGCUGCACUGCUGUGUCGAGCUGCCGGUGCAGCGACACGCGUAUGUGCGGGCCAUUCUGCUGGACCUGACAAGGGUUGUCUCCACAUAUGUCCGCCUGCUCCGCGCACGCCAGCGCCACACCCCGUUGCCACAGGGGACGCAGUCCUUGUCGCCGGCGACUACCGCCGAGCCCAACUUUGUGUCGGAGUUGGAAAGCAUCGCUGCGGCAUGUGCACUCUUGGCGGGGCUGGUCUCAGACAUGGAGCGGCGCGUGCGCACCGGGGCGGACAGUCUCCGCGGCUACGCCACAGACCCGCGCGUCACAGCCGCCGCGAGCGCGAUUAGCGAGGCGAACACCGAAGAGCAAGGGCAGGCACCGUGGCCAGAGUCGCUGUGGGCAGCGUUGCAGCGGACACAAGACACGGUAGGCCGAUUGGUUCCCACUGCGCACAGCGACAACGCCGGCGGCAGUGGCGCCGCCGGUUCAGCUGAUGUUCUCUCGAACCCAUUCUACAGCAGCCCUUCCAUCCAUCCGAAACAGCCGCCUCUGGGCAGUGGAGCAGCCUCUUCCGCGGGCAGUGCCGGCGCCGAGUCGGAUCGCGGAGCCAAUGCGGGUCGUGGGUAUAGAGGCAGCAGCAAGCGACUGAGCGCACUCCCGGCGCCGGGUACGCUGCCAACUAUGUCCGCUACAGUGGCAGCGCAGCUUAGCGUGCCGACGAUGGCGUUGACGUACGUAAUGCUGUGCAAUGAAGCGGCUGCGGCGCGCGCGCUGACACCGGUGGCCGACGCUCUCGAGCACGACAUUGCGCAGCAGCUGGUGACACGCCACCUGCAGCGCCUUACGACGCCGGCUAACUGCACGUACCUGUGCUAUCGCGAUGAAGAGCGUCAGGCGCUGCUGGAGAGCGUCGGUGCGGUGCUCAGACAGCAGCAGCAACAGCCGCAGCAGUCCUCGCGGCGCGGCGGCAGUGGUGGUCACUCCCGUCGCGUAGGUGCAGCAUCGUCGCCAUCCACCAACGCGGCGACUGGGGCGGGUGGAGGCGGCGGCUCCCUGCCGAGCGUGAUUUUCACAGAAGCGGAUGUGUGGAGGGCGCUGGCACCGCCGGUGUUGUUGGCUGCAGUCCCGACGAGCCUCUUCUCCGCCCUUGGAGCCGAUGCGCUGGGGGCGCCGCUGUACAACUCCGUCGCUGCCGCCGCUGUCUGCGUCGUCGCUGGGGCGAGGGCUGCAGGAGGGCCGGCGGCCAUCGUCGGUCGUGACACCAGUGAUGGAGGAAAAGCUUCGCAAGUGCGGAACUCCUCCAGAGACGGCGCACAUGAGGCGCGCUGGCAGCUGUACCUGUCCGUGUCACCUCUGCAGGAUGCGGAGGUGGCCGCUGCACCCCCACCCCUGCUGCCCGGCUCGGUGGUAGCAUCUCUCGAAAACUGCGUCCUGCUGCCGCCAAGCCAUAUCCUCAAUGCGGUGGCUGCGAGCGCCGAAAGCAGUGGGGCAGGCGCAGCAGCCGCGAUGACCACCACAUCGGCAAGCGUUUCUGGCACGGCCGCCUCUCGUGCGCGUAUCGCAUCACGGCAGUCUGCCGCCGGCGGUAGCGCAGGCGCAACGGGCAUUCACGCUCGCUGCACAGGCGGUAGUAUAGUAAGUGCUGCGGACCGUGGCACAGGAGGUGCUUGGUGGCCCCCCCUCAUCGCGAGCGCAGCCACCUCGACCCGUGAGUUGCUGGUGCCGUCGACAAACUGGGCAUUAUUGGACUCCAUCCAGCAAUGUCAGCUGCAACAGCAACAGCAGCAACGAGAGUCAUCUAGGCAGGACACCGACGGCGGUGUCAAGCUGCCACAUUCGCCGUCUCUAGCGGCUCCCGCUGCGCCUGCCACUCGUGGCGUGCGCAAACUCGGGCGGAGGAGCAGCUUCAGCUCCGUUGCAGCGUUGACCGCAGCAGCAGGCUGCGGCGGUGGUGUAUCGAACGCGGCACUGCAACACAAAAACGACGGGGCAGCACCCCCGUGUGAGCCGGCGCCGCUGCGAUGGACGUGCGUCUCUCUCGAGGUCUCCGGCAGCACGGUACGUACUCUGCGUCGACACCUUCGCGCGGUGCGAGCGUGCAUGUGGCGGGUGGAAGCCGAAGAAGGCAUAGCCCGUGGUGCAGGCGAAGACGCUUCUGUUCGCAAGAACGGCUGGGGCAGCAACAGAUGCACAGAGGACGCGGUGAGCGGCGCUACUGGAGCUGGCGCUGCGGCACCAACUGCAGUGGAAGCCCACGGUGCGAAGAGGCGAGACGAUCACAGCUCGAGCAUCGCCUCGCUCACCGUCGGUGGCAGCAGCGUAGACAGCGAUGCAGCUAACGAUCACGCGGCUGCGGCACGCUGCGCCUUGGCGGCCGCUGUCGCACAAGCCCAGUCAGCCCUGCGGUCGCGUGUACUGGCAGGCGGCAGUGGUGGCGGCGGCGUGGGAGGCACGGCUCCAGGUAGCAGCGGUGCGCCUCCGUCCGCCGUGCAGGGAGCGGCGGGAGACGGCGGUGCGCGGGCAGGCUUCAACAGCAACUACCCUGGAGGGUCAUCCUCUGCAGGAUUGGCGGCCGCGACGAGUCCCUCGACCUCCGCGGGGCGAAAGACCGCGAACAAGACGAGCGGGCCGGGGCGUAACGUAUCGCGCGCCAGUAGCUUCGGUGGGCAUGGGAACGGCGCCCCUGCUGCAGGUGGCGCGGAUGGGCUGCAAUCUGGGAUUCACGUCACGCAUGAUCUCGCGGACGCAGAACGGGCUCGACAGGUCGCCGAGCGCCGCCGAAGGCUCCAGCAGCUUGAGGAAGAGCUUGACGAAGCCAAGUCAAGCCUGCUGAUGGAGCUGCUGGAGACCAUCGUGAGCGCCGCGUGUGCAUCCUCACUGUGCCCCACCGCCGCAGAGGCCAUGCUGGACGAGGCGCGCAUCGAGGCAGAUGUGCAGCGGCUCCUUCCGCGUUGUGCCCUCUCCAGUGACGUGAUUGGCUUUCUCGAGGAGUGGAUCGGAAGCCACGCAGUCCUCAACGUACAUGGGAAAGACGUCGAUCACGACACGUGCGGUGACGGUGGCGACGACGCGGACGGCGAAGACAGCUGCAGCGGUCGCAGCAGAACCACAUCCCUUCGCUUCUACAGUCCAGGCUUGCACGAGUGGAUGCAGCGCAUCUCGCGCUACGUGGUGGAGCAGCAGCAGCAGAAACGGUGAUACGCAAGCACAAGUUGUCUAUUUGUGUGUGUGUGUGUGUGUGUGUGUGCCUCGACCAGCGCCCUUGCGCCCCUUUCACGCUGCACUUGUGGGGCCUCAAGCGGGUCGUGCCACACGUGAGAGUGGGGGCGAUGUUAUGGCGUAUGCGUGGAUGGCAUCGCCUCUGCCUGAUGUCACCUCUUCUUUUUCUUUUUUGGAUCCUGUCAUCCACAGGCACAUACAUGUGUGUGUGUGUGUGUGAUGGGAUGGGAUGGGAGAAGAAGGCUUGCAUCAGGUGGUGGAGAGAUUGGGAGGUACUUCAUUUGUGUUACCCCCUGAGUUCAUGGCUCGAUGGCGGCACGGGUGUUUUCACGAAUGCAUACACGCAUACAUACAUACCACCACCCCCUCCCCAUCAUACACGACGGGCGUACUUAAUCAAUGGCGAAGUCCCGCAAACAAUCGAAACGACGGAGCGUCGCCUUGUUUUUUUCCACUUGAUGUACACGAGGGUAAGCAGGGGAAGCCUGAGCCUGUCGCUCCCCCUUCCCCCUCUCUUUCACGUAGUCUUGUCGGCUCGAUCCCGUCAAGCGCGUGCUGCACUGUUCUUCUUCUGUUCACUUCAAUAGC
rnacentral:misc_RNA from 1 species